GACGAACGCUGGCGGCGGGCUUAACACAUGCAAGUCGAACGGAAAGGCCCUGCUUGUGUGGGGUGCUCGAGUGGCGAACGGGUGAGUAACACGUGAGUAACCUGCCCUUGACUUGGGGAUAACUUCAGGAAACUGGUGCUAAUACCUGAUAGGAGCUCCUGCUGCAGGGUGGGGGUUGGAAAGUUUCGGCGGAUGGGGAUGGACUCGGGGCUUAUCAGCUUGUUGGUGGGGUAGUGGCUUACCAAGGCUUUGACGGGUAGCCGGCCUGAGAGGGUGACCGGCCACAUUGGGACUGAGAUACGGCCCAGACUCCUACGGGAGGCAGCAGUGGGGAAUAUUGCACAAUGGGCGGAAGCCUGAUGCAGCAACGCCGCGUGCGGGAUGACGGCCUUCGGGUUGUAAACCGCUUUCGCCUGUGACGAAGCGUGAGUGACGGUAAUGGGUAAAGAAGCACCGGCUAACUACGUG
rnacentral:rRNA from 1 species